rnacentral:rRNA from 1 species
GACGAACGCUGGCGGCGUGCUUAACACAUGCAAGUCGAACGGAAAGGCCCUGCUUUUGUGGGGUGCUCGAGUGGCGAACGGGUGAGUAACACGUGAGUAACCUGCCCUUGACUUUGGGAUAACUUCAGGAAACUGGGGCUAAUACCGGAUAGGAGCUCCUGCUGCAUGGUGGGGGUUGGAAAGUUUCGGCGGUUGGGGAUGGACUCGCGGCUUAUCAGCUUGUUGGUGGGGUAGUGGCUUACCAAGGCUUUGACGGGUAGCCGGCCUGAGAGGGUGACCGGCCACAUAGGGAUAGGGGUACGGCCAAGACGCAUACGGGAGGCAGGAGUGGGGAAUAGUGCAAAAUGGGCGGAAGCCUGAUGGAGCAACGCCGGGUGGGGGAGGACGGCCUUCGGGUGGUAAACAGCUUUCGCCUGUGACGAAGCGUGAGUGACGGUAAUGGGCAAAGAAGCACCGGCUAACUACGU